GGUUAGCUGUGCUGGAUGGUGCUUGGGAAUGUGGGACCAAGGCUCUGGCAACCCCUCACCCUUCUUUGCCCGGUCAUCAAGAGACUGGGCCCCAGAGCAGCAGUGUAGGACACCUCCUGGGCUGGUUAUACUAUCUGUCCUAUGGACUUCAUUUCAAAAAGGAAUGUCAGACACAUGAACUUUCUAUCUAGGUUCUUACAUGGCUCUCAUCACUGUAGGAUCUAAGCACCUAACAGUCAUCAUCAAUGGAUUUUUGAGGUUAGAAGGAGAAUCACUAGCAGCUUCCUACUGAAAUGUGGAACAGAUUCCAUGCACACUUGCUGAACUUGUUUACACCUGCCGACUGUACUUACAAAUUCUUGUGGACAUGGUUAUCUCUUUUGCAAAGCAC